UACGGGGGGGGUAAGCGUUGUUCGGAAUUACUGGGCGUAAAGGGCUCGUAGGCGGCCAACUAAGUCGGACGUGAAAUCCCUCAGCUUAACUGGGGAACUGCGUCCGAUACUGGAUGGCUUGGAUUUGGGAGAGGGAUGCGGAAUUCCAGGUGUAGCGGUGAAAUGCGUAGAUAUCUGGAGGAACACCGGUGGCGAAGGCGGCAUCCUGGACGAGACCUGACGCUCAGGCACGAAAGCUGGGGGAGCAAACAGG
rnacentral:rRNA from 1 species